UCAUGGCUCAGGACGAACGCUGGCGGCGUGCUUAACACAUGCAAGUCGAACGAUGAAGCCCUUCGGGGUGGAUUAGUGGCGAACGGGUGAGUAACACGUGGGCAAUCUGCCCUUCACUCUGGGACAAGCCCUGGAAACGGGGUCUAAUACCGGAUACCACCUUCUCAGGCAUCUCUGAGGGUUGAAAGCUCCGGCGGUGAAGGAUGAGCCCGCGGCCUAUCAGCUUGUUGGUGGGGUGAUGGCCUACCAAGGCGACGACGGGUAGCCGGCCUGAGAGGGCGACCGGCCACACUGGGACUGAGACACGGCCCAGACUCCUACGGGAGGCAGCAGUGGGGAAUAUUGCACAAUGGGCGAAAGCCUGAUGCAGCGACGCCGCGUGAGGGAUGACGGCCUUCGGGUUGUAAACCUCUUUCAGCAGGGAAGAAGCGAAAGUGACGGUACCUGCAGAAGAAGCGCCGGCUAACUACGUGCCAGCAGCCGCGGUAAUACGUAGGGCGCAAGCGUUGUCCGGAAUUAUUGGGCGUAAAGAGCUCGUAGGCGGCUUGUCACGUCGGUUGUGAAAGCCCGGGGCUUAACCCCGGGUCUGCAGUCGAUACGGGCUAGCUAGAGUGUGGUAGGGGAGAUCGGAAUUCCUGGUGUAGCGGUGAAAUGCGCAGAUAUCAGGAGGAACACCGGUGGCGAAGGCGGAUCUCUGGGCCAUUACUGACGCUGAGGAGCGAAAGCGUGGGGAGCGAACAGGAUUAGAUACCCUGGUAGUCCACGCCGUAAACGUUGGGAACUAGGUGUUGGCGACAUUCCACGUCGUCGGUGCCGCAGCUAACGCAUUAA
rnacentral:rRNA from 1 species